CCUCUAAAGCCUUCUUCUCAGUGAAUUCGUUAAGAAAUCCCCAAAAUUCAAACGAGAAUCUCACAGUAACACCAGUUUUUCGAGGGAAAGAGAAGCGCGAAGAAGAAGGAGAGAAAAAAAAACCCUAGAAUUAGAUAAUGGAGUUGAGAAGAAGAAGAAGAAGUCUCUCGAUUGGCUUUAAGUGAAGGGUAAAUGUGGAAGAGAGGUUUGUGCUUUUUAGUGCCCAAAAUCUUUAUCUCCUCCAUUUUUCUGAUUUUCUCUCCUCCUCCUUUUUUUUUUUUUUUUUUUUUUCUUUUUUUUUCGGGUCUUCACUUCCAUGCCGUCCCGUUUAAAUAUCCCCGGCGAUACUCUUUGUCGGAGUUAAUGAGUAAGACGAUCGAUGGAUGAUUCAGCUUUUGGGUUGGGCCCUUAAAACAUUCAGGCCCAAUCUUUUCAAGGCUCGUAAAAAGAUGAGCUUAAA
rnacentral:lncRNA from 1 species